AGCCCUGUAGUGUAGGGGACCAUCAUCUCGGGUUUUGGACCCGGGGACGGCGGUUCGAAUCCGCCCAGGGCUA
rnacentral:tRNA from 1 species